rnacentral:snRNA from 1 species
GAAUGUGAGGGCGAUCUGGCUGCCACAGCUGUCAUCCCAUUGAUGGCCCGGGUUGAUUCAGCUGAUCUGGCUGGCUAGGCCAGAGUCCCCUUCCUCCCUCACCACUCCAUGGGCUUCCCUCCUGAAGCUGCGUGUGCUUAGUAGAAGAGGAUGAUCUUCCCCAAUAAAGGAGGACCAUCAUUCUACGUUCAAGGUUAUAUGAAUAGCUGAGCUCCCCUGCUAGAACCUCCAAAACAACCUCUGAAAAUAAGAUCACAGGUCACUGUAAAGUAAUAGUCAUUCAUUUAGCCAAAGUGAUGUCAAAGAU